AUGCCUAGCCGUAAAAUAUUAAUUUACACCCCAAUCGCCAGGGAAUUACGAGCCCAAGCUUAAAACCCAAAGGACUUGACGGUGUCCCACCCACCUAGAGGAGCCUGUUCUAUAAUCGAUUUUCCCCGAUAAACCUCACCACCCCUUGCCUCCCAGCCUGUAUACCUCCGUCGAAAGCUUACCUUGUGAACGCCAACCAGUGAGCUCAAGGACCAUCCGUCAACACGUCAGGUCAAGGUGCAGCCAAUGAGGUGGAAAGCAAUGGGCUACAAUUUCUAGUUUAGAACAAACGAAAGACCACAUGAAACACAGUCAUGAAGGCGGAUUUAGUAGUAAAAAGAAAAUAGAGAGUUCUUUUUAAUAAGGCCCUGGGACGCGUACACA
rnacentral:rRNA from 1 species